rnacentral:rRNA from 1 species
GACGAACGCUGGUGGCGUGCUUAACACAUGCAAGUCGAACGGAAAGGCCCUGCUUUUGUGGGGUGCUCGAGUGGCGAACGGGUGAGUAACACGUGAGUAACCUGCCCUUGACUUUGGGAUAACUUCAGGAAACUGGGGCUAAUACCGGAUAGGAGCUCCUGCUGCAUGGUGGGGGUUGGAAAGUUUCGGCGGUUGGGGAUGGACUCGCGGCUUAUCAGCUUGUUGGUGGGGUAGUGGCUUACCAAGGCUUUGACGGGUAGCCGGCCUGAGAGGGUGACCGGCCACAUUGGGACUGGGAUACGGCCCAGACUCCUACGGGAGGCAGCAGUGGGGAAUAUUGCACAAUGGGCGGAAGCCUGAUGCAGCAACGCCGCGUGCGGGAUGACGGCCUUCGGGUUGUAAACCGCUUUCGCCUGUGACGAAGCGUGAGUGACGGUAAUGGGUAAAGAAGCACCGGCUAACUACGUG